rnacentral:rRNA from 1 species
UACGUAGGUGACAAGCGUUGUCCGGAUUUACUGGGCGUAAAGAGCGCGCAGGCGGUCGAUCAAGUCGAGUGUGAAAGCCCCCGGCUCAACUGGGGAGGGUCAUUCGAAACUGGUCGACUCGAAGGCAGGAGAGGGUAGUGGAAUUCCCGGUGUAGUGGUGAAAUGCGUAGAUAUCGGGAGGAACACCAGUGGCGAAGGCGACUACCCGGCCUGUUCUUGACGCUGAGGCCCGAAAGCUAGGGGAGCAAACGGG